GUGUGGCAUCGUAUGAUUCACGUAAUCGGUCGUUGACAUUCUAUGUACGUAUGUACGCCUUUAAUCGAUACUUCUUUCAAAACCUAUUUCAAAUUAUUUUUCAAAUUUAAAAACUGAUUAAACUAUUCUUAACAGUUACAUACACGUUAGUGAUAAAGUAUUUAACAAGUGGCGAGAAAGUUAUCACGACUCCGAAUUCGUUAUUACCUUCGCCGGUACUUUUACUAUAGACAAGCGAUUGAUUUCACGAUUCAUAUAAUAUUUAUGAUUGCAAUGACAUUCCACAUUUGGCGUUCGUUCAGUUGCCCGGGGAAUUCUGUGCGGGAACGACGGCGCGAGAAGUUGCAAGAACAACAAACGGAAAGGCGAAAACACAAGGAUCCCCAAAAUUUUUCCAAGGCGAUACUGAGAAAAUAAGAGAGACGAACAGACUUCGAGCGAUACACCGCAUGGUCGGAAUCGUCGAAUGGGAAAUCACCGAGUAUAAAUAGAAGAUGACUCGCGGUCUGGACUCGCUUGGACACCGUCAGUCGAUGAUCAUACUUUAGCACCGCUAAGUGGGUAUCGAUACAGCAGUACUUCGUUAACUGGCCACGAUCCGGAACCUUAUCUGGUCAGUUAUCGAGAAACAUAAUGCCAGAGGUACGCUCACAAAAUCAGUAUGAAGAAUUGGUGGGGAUAGCGAUAACCAGCUAGAGAAGUGAAAUGGCGAACAAUUAACGCGACGUUAUUGUACAUCUCUGAUAGAUCUAUAUAUGCGUAAAAAUGUACACGCACGAAAUAAGGUAUCCGGUUCAUCCUUGGAGCAUCGUUCCGCGUGUUCCAAAAAUAACUAAGGCCAGAUGUGUCAUAUUACACUUAUAUGUAUGAAACAUAUAUUGCUUUUAUAUCUACUGAUAACAAUCGAAACGUUCGUAAACUCUGUUACGUUUAUCUCGGUCGGUAUAAUCGAGUAGCAAUAUGAAAAAUAAUAUGUCUGACGUUUUCAACCUACACGUGUCGUCAUACAUGCCGCUUUUGUAAUUACAUGCCUGUACACAACGUUUUAUUGCUCGUGCGUGAAAUUUUAAUCAAGUCUCCCAGCUCCCGGCUAGUUUCGCACAGUAAAAUAGAAUAUAAAGAAACCAAAGGAUUCGAUCAGGUUUGCUUGCACCGUAAUACGCAUAUAGCGUCAUUUCCCUGAACAAAGGAAGAACGAAAUAAUCCGAUUAUUUCGGUGUUUCGAAGCUUUCAUAUUUGUCCAUUUCGUAUUUAUGUUCCGUUAAAAUUAAGUCCAUUAACACAAAAUUAGCCGUUCGGGUGAAAGCUACUUUUUACUAACAUAGCGUACCACGGUAGGGCAUCUAAGAUCGUGUUUCUAACGUGCUCGAGGCUUUGAAAAAUUUCAAGAAAUUUAUGGCUAGUUUUAACGUCUCUACUACGAUAUCCUGAUAGGUGUCAAGAUGAAAUAUUAAACGAUUAGUUGUUAAAAACUCGAAAGGUUUAAACAAAAUUAUUUGGCGACUGAAGAAUCGUUGGGAGGUUAAAAUUGCACGUCUCACGUUGUAUGCGGAGGGUUAAAUCCACUUUCUCGUAUACGUAUAUACAAAAGACAAACGCGUAUGUAAUUUUUCACAGGAUAACUAACAGAGACCGAUUUAAAAAAAAAUGACCGAUUCCACGGAAUAACCAACGAAGACUAAUUAAAAAGAAUGACCGAUUCCACGGAAGAAAUCGUCGAUCGUUAUCUCACCUUGAGCGCAUAUUUUUCCCUGGUAUUUUUGUCAUAACACUGAACAACUUUUCCGUUUAUUCCAAGACCAAGCACGUGAUUACUGAUUUCAUAGUCAUCGGUGAUCGGUGUGACUUUCGGUAAACGGACGUCGCAUCUUGUGACCGUGUGUUCCAUGGUUUUCCGUUUGGUUUCCACGGUCGAAACCUCUUUCUCUUUCGUCGACACCUCGAUCUCUAUUUCCGCUGCUCGUUUCCGUUUUCCUUUCUUAUUCUCCUCGUUCUCCUCGCCGACGGGCCUCUUGCACUUUCUAAAAUGGUAAUCGAUCGUCAAUCACGUUCUCAUCCCAUGGGGGAGAAGAGACCCGACUCUUAUUUUUCUCUUUUUUCUACGUGUGUAUUACGUGUGUGUAUAUAUAUAUAAAAUAACGCAAAUGUACCGACACCAUAAAUAUUCGAAGGAAAUUGAGACACUUCAUGAGAAAUGCGAAGAAGUACGACGAUUUGACUGGCACCGUUGAUAAGAAAAACCUUAGAACGAUAGCAUAUUUCGUGCUGACACUUGUGAGCGCGCCACGCGAAUGACAGUACUGACAGUAGUAUAGUUACAAAAAAAAAUUAUUUGCCAACGAAAAGCUAUUUUAUCACUCGCAUCGGCGCCUAUUUUAUCUUUAAGAGUUACCAACGGAACGCGAUUUAUAUCCUUUUGAAAGUAAAUUGUAAUUUCUGUUAUUCGCCGCGAGGCUCGUAUGAAGAAGUUACUCAUUACAGAUUUCAAGUAUUUCUUAUUACCUUAAACUGAUAAGUCCAUUAUCGUCCGAUUAAUCGCGACGUGGUACGCCAAGCAGUUACUCGCAUGUUGUUAUCAAAUUGACAUUGCGAUAGAAAAUAUCAAUGCUUGAUUAUGCAUAUGUAAUUUAUAUAAUUUACAUCUUUACGUAAUUGCUAAAUCUUUAAAUUUAUAAAAGUUAUUAAACCAAUUAUAGGGAAUAAAAUUGGUAAAAAGUUAAUUGGUAAUUAGUUAAUUGAUCAAAUUAAUUUACUUUGUGACUUAGAGGAAAUAUUUUGGCAAACUGGUAUAUUCGUUUGUAUGAUCACAUUGUAAGUACACAUGCACGAUAUAGCACGAUAUACUUACUCAAAUACGCGCACACCUUUAUGUAUUACACAACUAAGUUCAAUCGAUUGCAGUAAAAUUAUACUACAUAGCUCAACGCACGUGAAUGGAACAUUUUCAAAUUAUCAAGACUAUCCCAAUCGGGUGCGUCGAUUAUGUGUUGCUUUAAUGAUGAUCGAUACACGCAAUAAAACAGCAACAGAAAUGAUCGAUCGAUAGAUCAAAGAAACAAAAAACAAAGGACAAAAACGUCGUAAAACAGGGUUAAAAAAUCAGUCGCAAGUUUUAAUCAGCACGAGAUUAAGUAAUAAUGUGCAAUUGUUAUGAUUGCAACGAACAAAAAUCUACAAAGAAUGAUGAGGAAUAGUGUUUAUCGUCGUAUUAUUCAAAAGGACGAGUUGACGUUAUCGUAUUUCAAUCAAUCUGAUAUAUUGAUUUCGAGGAAAUAAAAUAUAAUACGUUCUACAGAUGUUUAUGCAUUUAUGUAUGGGAAAUUUAAAAGCGGAAAUUAUAUAAAACGCGCGUAAUAUGCAAAACUGCAUAAGAUAUCCAAAGUGAAUUAUAUGUUAUAUUAUGUAAUGGAUAAUAUAAGUGUUUAUUUAGGUUUCAUUCUUUUUAAUUAAUAACUUAUGAAAGUAUGAAUAUGCAUGAACAUCUGCAGUCUAAUAAUAUGACAGAGACCUCCAGAAUGUCCACUUGGCUGCCGAUUUCGGCAUUUGUGUAGCUUUUUUAACGUUUCGAAAUCUUUCUAAUCGAAUCGUUGAACGAAGAUAGAAAGCAUCGCCUUCCGGGAGGGCCGAAAUUCCAAAGAAUUCUCAGAGGUAACACAGUCAGGUAGCGGUGAGUUAUGGAUUAACUGUGUGAGCUCCGCGUCGUCGAAUAAAAUAAGAAUGUGUUUCUAAUCGUAACUCAAAACUCGAUAUCCAAAGAAUAAUCGCACAGAGAGGGAAGAGGCCAGCUGAAAACCGAAGAUAAAAAAACUAAUAUAACUCAUCCUCAAUAAUGAAACUGGUGAUUGACGAUGGAAAGAAGCGUGCAAAAAAGCAAUUAUCAGAAAGCAAGUUUUUACAUGUGCGUAUGUACAUAUGUGUAGAGGGAUUACACGGGAUGCAGUGUGUCUAUCUCAACACUUCUUCUAAUGAGAUGAAUCGCAUUUCUGUUACGCAAGUUACACAGCCAAAAGAUUCAUGAACUUGGCAAUAUAAACACAAUGGGAGGAACAGAACACAAAAUGACUUGUCGAAGAUCUAUUUGCAUAAACGUAUAUCCACCGCCAAAUUCGCCAUCUAUACCUUAUCAAGAUUCACUGAGUGAUUUACUUAAAAUAGCGGUAGCGUAUGACGUAUGCAAACAAAAUAAAAUGCAUUAGAGAUAAGGCAAAUUGAAAAUCAGGGGGAAAAACCAAAAAAAAAGAAAAAUAAAAAUAAAAAGAAGUCUGGCAUGAUUAUAAAAGAUAAUUAUGCUGGUUGUCUAACGUACUUGGUGACGUCCGCUUCUUCAAAGUUCAAUUUCCCGCCAUAAAAUGAUAUAUUUAAAAGAAAGAAUAACACUGUUACAACAUUUUAUAUUUCACACUGUCAUGAGAACACUCGAUUAGUAUUAUUUCUUAAGAAUUAUUCUUGUCACGAUACGUCAUAACACUGAAUCACAAUUCGAUACGAAGGUAUAAAAAAUAAUGUUCACGAAUAUUCAGAAUGUAACUAUGCUUCUAUUCGUUUGUUUCA